AGAGUUUGAUCCUGGCUCAGAAUGAACGCUGGCGGCAUGCCUAACACAUGCAAGUCGAACAAAGGCUUCGGCCUUGCUGGCGCACGGGUGCGUAACGCGUGGGAAUCUGCCCCUUGGUUCGGAAUAACAGUUGGAAACGACUGCUAAUACCGGAUGAUGACGUAAGUCCAAAGAUUUAUCGCCGAGGGAUGAGCCCGCGUAGGAUUAGGUAGUUGGUGUGGUAAAGGCGCACCAAGCCGACGAUCCUUAGCUGGUCUGAGAGGAUGAUCAGCCACACUGGGACUGAGACACGGCCCACACUCCUACGGGAGGCAGCAGUGGGGAAUAUUGGACAAUGGGCGAAAGCCUGAUCCAGCAAUGCCGCGUGAGUGAUGAAGGCCUUAGGUUUGUAAAGCUCUUUUACCCGGGAUGAUAAUGACAGUACCGGGAGAAUAWGCUCCGGCUAACUCCGUGCCAGCAGCCGCGGUAAUACGGAGGGAGCUAGCGUUAUUCUGSAAUUACUGGGCGUAAAGCGCACGUAGGCGGCUUUGUAAGUAAGAGGUGAAAGCCCAGAGCUCAACUCUGGAAUUGCCUUUUAGACUGCAUCGCUUGAAUCAUGGAGAGGUCAGUGGAAUUCCGAGUGUAGAGGUGAAAUUCGUAGAUAUUCGGAAGAACACCAGUGGCGAAGGCGGCUGACUGGACAUGUAUUGACGCUGAGGUGCGAAAGCGUGGGGAGCAAACAGGAUUAGAUACCCUGGUAGUCCACGCCGUAAACGAUGAUAACUAGCUGUCCGGACACUUGGUGUUUGGGUGGCGCAGCUAACGCAUUAAGUUAUCCGCCUGGKGAGUACGGCCGCAAGGUUAAAACUCAAAUGAAUUGACGGGGGCCUGCACAAGCGGUGGAGCAUGUGRUUUAAUUCGAAGCAACGCGCASAACCUUACCAGCGUUYGACAUGGCAKGACGACUUCCAGAGAUGGAUUUCUUCCCUUCGGGGAMCUGCACACAGGUGCUGCAUGRCUGUCGUCAGCUCGUGUCGUGAGAUGUUGGGUUARKYCCCGCAACGAGCGCCAACCCUCGCCUUUAGUUUGCCAUCAUUUUASUUGGGCACUUUAAAGGAACCGCCGGUGAUAAGCCGGAGGAAGGUGGGGAUGACGUCAAGUCCUCAUGGCCCUUACGCGCUGGGCUACACACGUGCUACAAUGGCGGUGACAGUGGGCAGCAAGCACGCGAGUGUGAGCUAAUCUCCAAAAGCCGUCUCAGUUCGGAUUGUUCUCUGCAACUCGAGAGCAUGAAGGCGGAAUCGCUAGUAAUCGCGGAUCAGCAUGCCGCGGUGAAUACGUUCCCAGGCCUUGUACACACCCCCCGUCACACCAUGGGAGUUGGAUUCACCCGAAGGCGUUGCGCUAACUCAGCAAUGAGAGGCAGGCGACCACGGUGGGUUUAGCGACUGGGGUGAAGUCGUAACAAGGUAACC
rnacentral:rRNA from 1 species